rnacentral:rRNA from 1 species
UUAGGAAUAUUCGUCAAUGGGGGAAACCCUGAACGAGCAAUGCCGCGUGAGUGAUGAAGGCCCUAUGGGUCGUAAAACUCUGUUGUAGAGAAAGAAACCACGCUAUAGGUAAUGAUAGCGUGCUGACGGUACUCUGCCAGAAAGCCCCGGCUAACUACGUGCCAGCAGCCGCGGUAAUACGUAGGGGGCGAGCGUUAUCCGGAUUUAUUGGGCGUAAAGCGUGUGUAGGCGGUUUAUUAAGUCUAAGAUCAAAGCCCGAGGCUCAACCUCGGUUCGUCUUAGAAACUGGUAGACUUGAGUGCA